rnacentral:rRNA from 1 species
ACUUAAAUUGAAGAGUUUGAUCAUGGCUCAGAUUGAACGCUGGCGGCAGGCCUAACACAUGCAAGUCGAGCGGUAGCACAGAGAGCUUGCUCUCGGGUGACGAGCGGCGGACGGGGGAGUAAUGUCUGGGAAACUGCCUGAUGGAGGGGGAUAACUACUGGAAACGGUAGCUAAUACCGCAUAAUGUCGCAAGACCAAAGUGGGGGACCUUCGGGCCUCAUGCCAUCAGAUGUGCCCAGAUGGGAUUAGCUUGUAGGUGGGGUAACGGCUCACCUAGGCGACGAUCCCUAGCUGGUCUGAGAGGAUGACCAGCCACACUGGAACUGAGACACGGUCCAGACUCCUACGGGAGGCAGCAGUGGGGAAUAUUGCACAAUGGGCGCAAGCCUGAUGCAGCCAUGCCGCGUGUGUGAAGAAGGCCUUCGGGUUGUAAAGCACUUUCAGCGGGGAGGAAGGCGGUGAGGUUAAUAACCUCAUCGAUUGACGUUACCCGCAGAAGAAGCACCGGCUAACUCCGUGCCAGCAGCCGCGGUAAUACGGAGGGUGCAAGCGUUAAUCGGAAUUA